AGCGGCGGAUGGGUGAGUAACACGUGGGGAACCUGCCCCUAAGUCUGGGAUACCAUUUGGAAACAGGUGCUAAUACCGGAUAAUAAAGCAGAUCGCAUGAUCAGCUUUUGAAAGGCGGCGUAAGCUGUCGCUAAGGGAUGGCCCCGCGGUGCAUUAGCUAGUUGGUAAGGUAACGGCUUACCAAGGCGACGAUGCAUAGCCGAGUUGAGAGACUGAUCGGCCACAUUGGGACUGAGACACGGCCCAAACUCCUACGGGAGGCAGUAGUAGGGAAUCUUCCACAAUGGACGCAAGUCUGAUGGAGCAACGCCGCGUGAGUGAAGAAGGUUUUCGGAUCGCAAAGCUCUGUUGUUGGUGAAGAAGGAUAGAGGUAGUAACUGGCCUUUAUUUGACGGUAAUCAACCAGAAAGUCACGGCUAACUACGUGCCAGCAGCCGCGGUAAUACGUAGGUGGCAAGCGUUGUCCGGAUUUAUUGGGCGUAAAGCGAGCGCAGGCGGAAAAAUAAGUCUAAUGUGAAAGCCCUCGGCUUAACCGAGGAACUGCAUCGGAAACUGUUUUUCUUGAGUGCAGAAGAGGAGAGUGGAACUCCAUGUGUAGCGGUGGAAUGCGUAGAUAUAUGGAAGAACACCAGUGGCGAAGGCGGCUCUCUGGUCUGCAACUGACGCUGAGGCUCGAAAGCAUGGGUAGCGAACAGGAUUAGAUACCCUGGUAGUCCAUGCCGUAAACGAUGAGUGCUAAGUGU
rnacentral:rRNA from 1 species